rnacentral:misc_RNA from 1 species
CUAUCUACACCGCAUGCGCAUUGACCAAGCCAAACUCCAGCUGUUCCUUUACUAUGGCGGGAACUUCCCUCACCAUCCAGACCUAUGACGUAGCACACAAGUCCGGGCUCCAAGUGGCCACCGCCUACCCCAACAUCUAACCGGCGGAUGAAAUCCAACAUCUGACCGGCGGACCAAAACAUCCAUCAGUGAACCGUGUCAUGUGGUUCUUAUUAAACUAUUUCAAUAUAAGUUUUGUUUCCUUUUUGAUGUGUGUUAUAGUUUGCACACCCCGGAAUAAGAAUAUCACAUUCAUAAUACUAGUUUUUGGACUGAUGAUUUUAUAAAUGAUUGAAUACUACAAGACUAUCCAAAGAAAUGUAAAACAAUUUUUUGUCAAUUUGUGCAAGAAUUUCCAUUGAAUACACUAAUCACCUAUUGCUUACAACUGAAUAAGUUUGACCCGAUUAGGGACUGAUAAAUUUUCUUUAUAAACAAAUCCAAUAAAGAAUAAAAAUACAUGUAAAUCAUUACGUGUUUCAAACUCAGAUUUGGCCCGUUUACAGAGUGUAACUUUCCUCUGGACAUUUGCAGCAGUCUUUGGUCAGUCUAUCAGUUUAAGCAACUGAAAUCAAAUGUCCCACGUGUAAAAGCGAGUGAAAUAUCCCGCAUAUAUCUUUGACUUCUCUUUAGUUUAAAGUCAUGAUAUCCUUCCAUUAACAAGAAUUUUUUUAAGAAACAUGAUCAAAUGUCUUCUUUUUUAAUUCUGUAUCAAGGAUGCAUCAUUUGUGUCCAAUGACAACAACAUUUGUGAUAAGAUCCACGCAUCUGAGAUCCCUGGCAUAUGCUGAAUACAUUUGCUGAUUUCAAAUUCACAACAUUUCCCAAUGAGAUAUUUUGUGGCAUAAAAAUAUAUCAGUAUGCAAAAUAAAAAAGAUUUACUU